GCUCUUACCCGCCGCCCCAGCCAAGAACUGCGACUGACGCGCACGAGGCCCGAAUCCCUCCAUGUGCUGCGGGCCACGACGGGACUGGGGGUUCUGAUUCUGCGCCGGCGCCACCUUUGUGUCCGCGGCAUUUUGAAGAACGCCUGCUCCCCCUCCUGUGAACUCGGGCCGCGCGUACCCACAGGGGCACAGACGGAACCCUCCGAGGCCCCUGCCCACCUGAAGCCGCUGCCGUCGGCCUCGGCGCUCUGGCCGUUCCUUCUCUGCCCCUGAGGCCUCACGUCACCAUCCUUCCAGUGACAAUAGUGUCGCCCGGUGGAUGUGCACAGCACCUGGCCGCGUGCUCCAGGGCACACAGCAGCUCCUCGCAGACAGCUCUCCGGCGGCGCCUGCGGCCUGGUGGUUGAGCGUCUGCCUUCAGCCCAGGGCCUGAUCUCGGGGUCCUGGAAUCGAGUCCCACAUCGGGCUCCCUGCACGGAGCCUGCUUCUCCUUCUGCCUGUGUCUCUGCCUCUCUCUCUC